rnacentral:rRNA from 1 species
GGGCGGAAGCCUCAAAGCGACGACAGGUAGCCGGCCUGAGAGGGCGACCGGCCACACUGGGACUGAGACACGGCCCAGACUCCUACGGGAGGCAGCAGUGGGGAAUAUUGCACAAUGGGCGAAAGCCUGAUGCAGCGACGCCGCGUGAGGGAUGACGGCCUUCGGGUUGUAAACCUCUUUCAGCAGGGAAGAAGCGAAAGUGACGGUACCUGCAGAAGAAGCGCCGGCUAACUACGUGCCAGCAGCCGCGGUAAUACGUAGGGCGCAAGCGUUGUCCGGAAUUAUUGGGCGUAAAGAGCUCGUAGGCGGCUUGUCACGUCGGAUGUGAAAGCCCGGGGCUUAACCCCGGGUCUGCAUUCGAUACGGGCUAGCUAGAGUGUGGUAGGGGAGAUCGGAAUUCCUGGUGUAGCGGUGAAAUGCGCAGAUAUCAGGAGGAACACCGGUGGCGAAGGCGGAUCUCUGGGCCAUUACUGACGCUGAGGAGCGAAAGCGUGGGGAGCGAACAGGAUUAGAUACCCUGGUAGUCCACGCCGUAACGUUGGGAACUAGGUGUUGGCGACAUUCCACGUCGUCGGUGCCGCAGCUAACGCAUUAAGUUCCCCACUGGGGAAGAGUAUACGGAA